GACAGAUGGGAGCUUGCUCCCUGAUGUUAGCGGCGGACGGGUGAGUAACACGUGGGUAACCUGCCUGUAAGACUGGGAUAACUCCGGGAAACCGGGGCUAAUACCGGAUGCUUGAUUGAACCGCAUGGUUCAAUUAUAAAAGGUGGCUUUUAGCUACCACUUACAGAUGGACCCGCGGCGCAUUAGCUAGUUGGUGAGGUAACGGCUCACCAAGGCAACGAUGCGUAGCCGACCUGAGAGGGUGAUCGGCCACACUGGGACUGAGACACGGCCCAGACUCCUACGGGAGGCAGCAGUAGGGAAUCUUCCGCAAUGGACGAAAGUCUGACGGAGCAACGCCGCGUGAGUGAUGAAGGUUUUCGGAUCGUAAAACUCUGUUGUUAGGGAAGAACAAGUACCGUUCGAAUAGGGCGGUACCUUGACGGUACCUAACCAGAAAGCCACGGCUAACUACGUGCCAGCAGCCGCGGUAAUACGUAGGUGGCAAGCGUUGUCCGGAAUUAUUGGGCGUAAAGCGCGCGCAGGCGGUUUCUUAAGUCUGAUGUGAAAGCCCCCGGCUCAACCGGGGAGGGUCAUUGGAAACUGGGGAACUUGAGUGCAGAAGAGGAGAGUGGAAUUCCACGUGUAGCGGUGAAAUGCGUAGAGAUGUGGAGGAACACCAGUGGCGAAGGCGACUCUCUGGUCUGUAACUGACGCUGAGGCGCGAAAGCGUGGGGAGCGAACAGGAUUAGAUACCCUGGUAGUCCACGCCGUAAACGAUGAGUGCUAAGUGUUAGAGGGUUUCCGCCCUUUAGUGCUGCAGCAAACGCAUUAAGCACU
rnacentral:rRNA from 1 species